rnacentral:rRNA from 1 species
UACGGAGGGAGCUAGCGUUGUUCGGAAUUACUGGGCGUAAAGCGCACGUAGGCGGCUUUGUAAGUCAGAUGUGAAAGCCCCGGGCUCAACCUGGGAAUUGCAUUUGAGACUGCGUAGCUAGGGUGCGGAAGAGGGAAGCGGAAUUUCCGGUGUAGCGGUGAAAUGCGUAGAUAUCGGAAGGAACACCAGUGGCGAAAGCGGACUUCCUG